rnacentral:rRNA from 1 species
UACGAAGGGUGCAAGCGUUACUCGGAAUUACUGGGCGUAAAGGGUGCGUAGGUGGUUUGUUAAGUCUGCUGUGAAAUCCCCGGGCUCAACCUGGGAAUGGCAGUGGAUACUGGCAAGCUAGAGUGCGGUAGAGGGUAGUGGAAUUCCCGGUGUAGCAGUGAAAUGCGUAGAGAUCGGGAGGAACACCAGUGGCGAAGGCGGCUACCUGGACCAGCACUGACACUGAAGCACGAAAGCGUGGGGAGCAAAAGGG